ensembl:processed_transcript
UCAACUAGUUUACAGUUCUAACUUGCACAAAAUUAAGAAAAGGAGGCACAGUCCACUCACUGUAUGUUGCACCAUAUUAUAUUAUCCGCAUGGGAAAGUUGUUUAUCUCUUAAUGACAUCGCUGAUCUAGUUGUCACGCCAAUCCAAACGACGGCGGCGGCAAGCAUCAUCAAAACGAAAUAAUGUCUAGAACGCUGCUAGACAUCUGACCUGUGAACUCGGGGCAGAUGGAAGGACCCUGGACCUCAGCAAGAUGCGUCAUUUGACAUCACUUCACAGAUGACGGCUAGUUCUGUCUCAGUUAGCAGCGGCUGGCAAUAAAGCAGAACCAUGCACCCAGCAACACCUUUGAUCCUGGCCAUAUGGAGUUCCUUAGAGCUCAUUGGAGAAAAAAAAAAACCCAGUCACCUAAAUAUGAGCCCAUGACAAGCCCGGUGGAAAGCGGGUGGGGGCGGAUCAGGGCAGGAGCGGGUGCCCGGGAGUGAGGCGGUGCGGCAGGCUGAAGGCGAGAUAAGUGUGACCCCCAGAUGGCCGGAUAUCGCU